CGGGAGGGGCCGCCCCGGGGGGCCGCGGCGGCGCGGCGUGGCUCGCCGAGAGCCGCGGUCACGGGUGUGCUGGGUCUCCUCACGCCUGGCAGGGCUCGGCGGAGCCGAGGGACUGGGGCACCUCUGGGAGCCCGGCCGUGAGGGCGCCGGCGCGGGGACACCCGACCUCCUGAUUUUGGGAGAAUUCGGGGGCAAAUCUGGCACUGGUCUUCGUGACCUGGGGGGAACUGCUGCCCCGGCUCCCCUCUCUUCUCCCCUUCAUCCUGCCGCUGCAUACAUGUGUGCACACAGGAGACCCACAGCAGAUGAAACGUGGCAAAGCCUUUUUCUGUGCUGUUUUUAAACAAGAGUAAGACCUCUACCCAUCUCUCCCCUCACAAUCUGGUAGUUCUGGUGGUUUUAAUUUAUACCAACAUUAUACAAGGCUUCGGUGGAGUGUGUGUACGUUCCACACCCACGAUGAAUGGACUGGUGCUAUUGGUAAGAAACUUGCUGCUGCUGACAAAUAGUCUUGCUGUAAUAGCCAGCAAACAAACCCCCAAACCCUAAAGAAAUUAACGAGCCUGUUUUACUGCACAUCAUUCAGAACACUUGUCUGUCAGUUGACAAGAGCACAGUUCUGGUCAAUCUAGGAUCCCUGUAAUAGCCAGGUAUGUCCAUGAUUAUACCCACAGGUCAGCGGAAGGUGUUUUGUAAUUGCCUGGGAUUUGUGGAUUUACCCACAUGAAAAGCACCAGCAGAUCUUUAAUGACUGCAAAGCAGUUCAGUUUCUGUUAAAUGCCUUAUCUGGAAGUUAUAAAAUGUAUGAAGAAGUGUGAUUUAUUUUAUUCCCCAUUGAUGUGAAAAGCUAAUGGAAAGCAUGAAGAAGGUAAUUUAAACGUUGUCAUGUGUGUGGCUAACCCAAGGGCUGUGGCUGCUUCAGACACCAGAGCCCAUGCCAAGCCUCAUUAGCAGUGUCUACUUAGCAAAGUGACAAAGAAACGUUUCCUCCAAAGCAGACUCAGCUCUUAGUGGUGAUUCUGUCCCAGGGCUGAGAUUUAACCCUCCCUGUGCCUACUGCAGUCAAACUGUCUACCUUCAUCUUGCCUGAUAUUGCCCACAGAUGCCUCACAGAAUCUCUGUAUGCUCCGUGACCAAAGGUGGACAGAAAACAGAGUAGUCGGUAUGGUUAGCCUCCAUUUUCUCUGCUUCUGUGCAUACUCUUUGUACUAUCAUCAUAACCGCCAUGCCUCCCUUUUUGCAAAAUGACCCAGAUAUUUGCAUUUUCUUUGUCCUUACCAAAAUCUAUCUCUAUGUUAUACAAGCCCUGGGAAAUAAUAAGGGCAUUCUGCAUGGACAGAAAAGACUAAUACUUCACGGAUGGUGUUGAAAGCAGACAUUGUGUAUCUACCUGAAGGUCUUACAAAGAGCAUGCAGCUCAGCAUGACCUCUUUCUCCAAGCAUCAUCUUGUUCUUUGGCCGUCUUCAGAGGACCUGGAUCAGUCUGUGCUGCCCAGUCUCCAGUACCGUCAGCACUUCCAGCUAACAUGGCCUCGUGCUGGGUGAAGUCUUGGAGGAACAGAAGUGUGGUUAGAAGUUUCCCUUACCAAAUCCUUGACUGUGUCAAGAAUGGAUUAUACCUUAGGGCCUGUGGCAGUCAUGGAUUUGUGCACUCAUCUCCUUCCUGUGGCAGAGAGAGCAUCCUCUAUGUUGGAGGGAAAGCAGCGUACAGCACUGCCCACUAAACUGCGUAAUCUCAUGGAAGGCACUGUCAUCAUGGAAGCACACAGUGGGCAAACCUGUGAUAACACGUGAGCUUAUGUGUGUGAGGGAGCUUUCAGAUGAGGACAGCUGCACCCUCAGAAGUUCUCCGCUCUCGCUGGUUUUGCCUUUUGGCCAGCGAGUGACACCAUUUGGCACCAGCUCACACCCAGGCCCACUGCGGCAAUCAUGGCUGCAGUUGGUGUGGAUGAGACCUGCUGUAGACAUACUUCUGUCCAGCCUGGACGAAGAACAUAUGUACUUGUUUUGCCCAUUCCGAAGACUGGACCCAGGCCUUCACAAGGCAUUUUUCUCUCCUAGGAGUGGAAGAAUAGCAUACUGGUUUCAUCAACAGCCAGCAGAAAUUCCACGUUCUUGGCAUCAGGAGCAAAAAUAUAAGCCGUGUUGACAGUCUUUGGUUUCCUUCAAGUCAGGGUACAGGCAAGCAUCCAGUAUUCUGCUCUGCCUGCAACCUCUUACAUUCCCUGCAUUUGCCUGAGACCACCUGAACACAGGUCAGUGGGUUUCCUGCAUUAGUGCAGAGGGUACAUUGUUCAAUCCCCAUUUGCAGGUGGAAUGGUGGGUCUCAGAAAUGAGCAUGGUUCUGCAUAGCAAUUCUAGCAUGGCUUGUCUACUAGAACAGAACAACAAAAUGUGAUUAUCAGACAUCUAAUUAGGGGAAAUGCUUUUAUGGUUGUCUGGGGAGAGCUGCUACUCAAACAGCAUGGAGUGAACACAACAGGGCAAAUGCAGGUAAGGAUCAUGAAAAGCAUACUGCAGUUCUAGUCUUCUAAAGAGCCCUGCUAGGGGAGACUGAGAGCUCGCUCAAGAGCUGUGCCCAGGCUGUAUGGUGGAGAUGAUGGCUUUCCUGCCAUGAAAUUUUGUGGAUAAAUCUCAUUAUGCAGGUGUGGCAGGAGUCCAUCUUACAGAUGUGCAGUGCAGAUGUAACUUCAUGGAGAAGAAUCAGAUUCAGAAGAACUGCCGGUGGUGGUUGGUAGUGUGUGGGGACCAGGAAAAGUCCCUCUGAAGAAAAUCUAGGGACUUCUUGAGUGCAGCAGUGGAUAUGCUGCAGACAGGCUCAGCUGAGCUCUAGGAGUCUCUGGGGUUAGUCAGAGUGCACAGAGUUGCCUCUAGCACUCAAGAGUGGCUGCCGUGUGUUCCCAGUCCUCUUCGCAGUGCCUUGUGAGGUGAGACUGCACCAUGUGCUCAGCAUGUGACUUAAGUGAUCAGGAGGCAAAGAAAAUAACAGCAGUAUUUUUUUUCCUGUGCACAGUACAUCUUUUUGCUUUACCGCAGGGUGAUGUCUAUACAUUUUAUGGACAGUGCAGGUGUAUGCCUCCAGCCCAGGCAAUCAUUAAUUAAUUUUAGCCUCCAAGAAAUCCAGGAAUGUCAUGCAGUCAGAAAGAACACAAGUUAUGACAGAUUAUCUGCUACCUCUACAUCCUGCACCAUCCUCCUAAUUCUUCCUCAAUUAAUCAACCUGAAGGAGGUUUCUCUGGCAGCCAUGUGCAGAGAAUUUGUCUUGGGGAUCUCUAGUGGUUUUAGAUCAAGGAUAAAGGCACAUUUAGUUCCUGGUGGAAGAAAGAAACGUAAGGCUGCUGGCCCUUCAUUUUCAUGUCUAAGGUGCUAUAGCUGAAAACAGAAGAAAUGGUCUAUUCAGGAAGAAACAGGUCAGUGACUGUUCCUGUCUUUCUCUUGCUUUUAGGGGAACAUUUCUGUCCGGUUACCAUUUCAGGACAUCACACUAAGGCUAGCCGCAUGGGGUGUUUCUUUGCCAUUGCCCUCUCCUCAGACAUCAGGGGAACUGGAAUAUGCUGCCUAGGUGACCCUGAGGCCAUUUUUCUGCCUGUAUUAAUUCACUAUCCACAGGUGGAGGCCUGGUGGCCCACCCCAACCUAUGACUACUAACUCUGUAACAAUGCAUGAGUAGAUUUGUAAUUAUUCUUCAGUCGCUAAGAGAGACCUCCCCUCCAGUUUACCUGUCAGAGGAGGCUGUGUUUUAGUGAGCAGAAUAAUCUUUUGUUCAACCUGUUGUGUAGCCCCAUUCAUGUGAGGUGCAGUCUACUUGAAUGCUUGCUGAAGACCAUGCCUGAUGUCAGCCCUCCAAGUCAGUGGCCAGUAUCAGAGGCUCUAGCUGAUUCCUAGCACUGUGCCUGUGUUUGCAGGCUCAUCUGCAUGAGGCAGGUGACUGUUACUCCCCAUCAGCUAGCUGCCUGCCAGAACCAGCACAGCCCUUCUAUGGGGGUCACACAAACAUCUUCAUCAUCUUUUCAACCAGUAUCACUACAGCUACUAUCUGGAAAGCUCCUGCCUGCGCAGCUGAACCACUGCUUCUGUUGGCCAGGUGAAGAUGCCGGAUGCAAACUUGUACUCCCUUUUCAAAUCAGAUGAGCCCAUUCCUCUGCAAGAUUGUCACUGCUAUUUCUCAGCAGCACCGUGAGUACACCUUGCUUCAGAUGAAAGACUGGCAUCCCAAAAGAAGGAAUGCACAGGACCUGUUUUUGUUGCCUUACCAUUUUGUGUUCCCCUGUGUUUCUCUUCUCUCUCAUUAAUUGUCAUUAAAUCCUUAAUUUUUUCCCAUCAGA